rnacentral:rRNA from 1 species
GACGAACGCUGGCGGCGUGCUUAACACAUGCAAGUCGAACGGAAAGGCCCUGCUUUUGUGGGGUGCUCGAGUGGCGAACGGGUGAGUAACACGUGAGUAACCUGCCCUUGACUUUGGGAUAACUUCAGGAAACUGGGGCUAAUACCGGAUAGGAGCUCCUGCUGCAUGGUGGGGGUUGGAAAGUUUCGGCGGUUGGGGAUGGACUCGCGGCUUAUCAGCUUGUUGGUGGGGUAGUGGCUUACCAAGGCUUUGACGGGUAGCCGGCCUGAGAGGGUGACCGGCCACAUUGGGGCUAAGAUACGGCCCAGACUCCUACGGGAGGCAGCAGUGGGGAAUAUUGCACAAUGGGCGGAAGCCUGAUGCAGCAACGCCGCGUGCGGGAUGACGGCCUUCGGGUUGUAAACCGCUUUCGCCUGUGACGAAGCGUGAGUGACGGUAAUGGGUAAAGAAGCACCGGCUAACUACGUG